UUGGAGGGCAAGUCUGGUGCCAGCAGCCGCGGUAAUUCCAGCUCCAAUAGCGUAUAUUAAAGUUGUUGCAGUUAAAAAGCUCGUAGUUGAAUUUCGGGGUCAGUAGGCUGGUCAUGCCACUGGUAUGUACUGGUCUCACUGGUUCCUCCUUCCUGAUGAACUGUAAUGCCAUUAAUUUGGUGUUGCAGGGAAUCUGGACUGUUACUUUGAAAAAAUUAGGGUGUUUAAAGCAGGCUAACGCCUGAAUACAUUAGCAUGGAAUAAUGAAAUAGGACGUUCGAUCCUAUUUUGUUGGUUUCUAGGAUUGGCGUAAUGAUUAAUAGGGAUAGUUGGGGGCAUUAGUAUUCAAUUGUCAGAGGUGAAAUUCUUGGAUUUAUUGAAGACUAACUACUGCGAAAGCAUUUGCCAAGGAUGUCUUCAUUAAUCAAGAACGAAAGUUAGGGGAUCGAAGACGAUCAGAUACCGUCGUAGUCUUAACCAUAAACUAUGCCGACUAGGGAUCGGAUGAUGUUAAUUUUUUAAUGACUCAUUCGGCGCCUUACGGGAAACCAAAGUGUUUGGGUUC
rnacentral:rRNA from 1 species